rnacentral:lncRNA from 1 species
UCAUUUUCGCUUGACUAAUAAAAUAUCCUUUUUGUAAUUACUUGUUUUUUUUCUCGCCCAAAAUAACAAUUUUAUGGACUACAAAAAAAUAAAUUGAUAACCCCAUUCCUUUCCUACCACCAUCAAAGGAACAAGUUUUUUUUCUGCUUAUUGAAGUCGUAAUCUAUAAAACCUAUUACUUACAAGCCUUUCCUUCGAGUGGUGGCUGACCUGUGCGAACAUAUUUUGUGGCUGUUAUGCUUAUGACUUGAGACCGGUGUCUGGGCGAUAAACGUUGAGAAAAACGCUGUCGUUUAUGGCUGACCAAAGAGCGAAAAUAAUGAAAAUAAAUUCUAGCCAUUGAAAAUAAAAAAAAUGCCGCAUUUCACCAUCUCUUUAGAACCUGAGAAAAUAUGCUAACACCGGAUCAAAAUCUAUCUACUAACGCAUAUACACGGUGGUGGACUAAUCCUAUCAUUCGAACAUGAGUGGCCAAGUAACAGCAGUCAAAUAAAAUCCCUCACAUGGGCUCUAAUACAAAAACAAUGACAAAAUUUCUGAUAUGUACUAAUGUACACAACUGGUCUAGGUUUAGCUAAGUAGCUGGCGCACAUGGCCUUAAAUUACACAUAACAAAGUAGUUUUUUUUUUUUAAAAAGAAAAUUAACUCAGGCACAUGUUAAAACUCGAACUCUAAACCUGAGUUUUAGGUAGGCCACUCUUUACAAUCAGAGCUAGGCCUUAACUUCAAAAUAAAAACUGCAAAAUGCAAAUUUAUGAUCUAUAUGUUCGUGAGGCAGUGAUUUUUUUAUUCACAGAUUAUCUAGAAAAAUAAAGGUCAUAUAAAUACAUCUAGAUCGAUUCGUUGGCUAAUUUGCCCAGUACGAAUUUGAAGAAAUACAAGCUGUAAUAUAUAAAGGAUUAGGUUAUUUUCAGGAAUAAAUUAUAUAUAAAGGAUUAGGUUGUUUUCAGGAAUAAAUUAUAUUUCUGCUUGUACUUUACGAAUAUAUCAUUUUAUUUAUUUAUUUGGUGGGUAGUGCUUGGUAUUUGUUUAUGAAUGGCACCAUAAUGGUCUAAUGGAUCAGAUCGAACUAAGGUGAUCUGGUUCCCUAAGUUGGAGACGACAAGGAGACGCACGGCAUUUCAAUAUCUUUGUUAAUCGAAUGGUUGGCCAAAUCUAUAUCUGACUUAUAGCUAACUAACCUCGAUAGAUUCUUUAUUUUUUAAAUCCUUUUUAUAAAUAAGAGUUUACAUAUAAUUCUAAUAAAUUAUUUAUGACAAGUUUGUGCGAGUCAUCAAGACAAGUUGCUGGGUAGAGUUUAGGAAUUGAAUAGUUUUUUAUUGGCUAAAUUACCAGACCUAGGCAUUUUUUAAUUUAAAUAUUGUAGAUGUUAUGUCGGUAAUAUCUGUUCUAUUUUUUCUCUUAGCCUUCAUUUGAUAAGUUGUUGUAAGUUUUCAAUGAAAUCUUUAACAUUAUAUUAAAAAAAUUAAUAAUUUAUUCAAGUUAAAAAAAAUUCUAAUAAUUGAUGAAUAAGAGCAUAUAAAUCUUACAAUAUAAACGAAACCUGACCUCAAUUCAAACAAUGAAAUUGUCACUGACUGUGCUUUCCAUCGCCAGAACUGUUUGAUAAUUGCAUUUUGGAGUCAUCCAGAAACUUGAUAGAGAACCAGUGGGGAAGAAAAGGAAGUAAAGAUAUUUUUAAUUUUGUGCAGAGAAAAAAAUACAGCGAGAGACAUUGAAAGUCGCAACUUGGAACAGAAACCCCAAUUCCUUCUACAUGUUUUAUAUGAUGUCUCUUUGGCUGACGCCCUUUAUCUUUUGCUAACUCUUGGAAUCUGGAACCAUGUACACAUCAUAACCAUACACAAAAAUAAUUAACCUAAUUGUCCACUACUAGUUUUCUUUAUAUACCCGAAGUAUUUGACAUUUGUUUCACUCAAAAUAUGCGAUUUCAUGAGAAUAGAAUUAAUCAGAGAAGAAAAAAAAAAGAAUUAUCAAAAAGAAA